UUUAGCAGAGAUGCUUUAGUGCCUUCGGGAACUCUGAGACAGGUGCUGCAUGGCUGUCGUCAGCUCGUGUUGUGAAAUGUUGGGUUAAGUCCCGNAACGAGCGCAACCCUUAUCCUUUGUUGCCAGCACGUAAUGGUGGGAACUCAAAGGAGACUGCCGGUGAUAAACCGGAGGAAGGUGGGGAUGACGUCAAGUCAUCAUGGCCCUUACGAGUAGGGCUACACACGUGCUACAAUGGCGCAUACAAAGAGAAGCGACCUCGCGAGAGCAAGCGGACCUCAUAAAGUGCGUCGUAGUCCGGAUUGGAGUCUGCAACUCGACUCCAUGAAGUCGGAAUCGCUAGUAAUCGUAAAUCAGAAUGUUACGGUGAAUACGUUCCCGGGCCUUGUACACACCGCCCGUCACACCAUGGGAGUGGGUUGCAAAAGAAGUAGAUAGCUUAACCUUCGGGAGGGCGUUUACCACUUUGUGAUUCAUGACUGGGGUGAAGUCGUAACAAGGUAGGCGUAGUGCU
rnacentral:rRNA from 1 species